rnacentral:lncRNA from 1 species
AUCCAAAAGAGUAAGGCAUGCAAUAAGAGGAGUUUUACAAGUAGAAGGACUCUUCCUCUAUGUACAAAAAUUAAAAUGCCAUCUGAUGGUGCGUGGGAUAAGGGAAUGGGUGUGAAACUAAGAGUCCAAAAUAAGAUGGACUCUUCCAUAAUUCAACGCACAUAUGAAAGGGCAUCCAUUUAUUUUGUGGCAUGUGAGUUCCUUCUCAGAGGACUCUUCCUUCUUUUCCAUGCCCACAUAUCCCAAGGUGCCAUCUAAUGGCGCAAAAACAAAAGGACGUGUGAAAUAUGGUAAGGAAUUUAAGAGGAGUAUAAAAGGACUCCUCUUAACGCCUAAAUUAAAUAGAGCAACAAUUUAUUUUGUGCAUGGGAUUUGGCGUAGAGGAAGGUGAUUUCUUAUAGAACACUUCCACUAAAAUCAGAUAAGGUAUCUCAUGUCUUAAGGAUUGAACCCAAUCUCAUUAGGUCGAGGUAUCAAGCUUAAGGGUUAGCACAAACACCUUUGCACUGAGUCCAAUUGAGAACUUGAGCUAAUUCAUGUGCUAGCAAUUUAAUUAACAUAUUGAAUUUACAAUAAAUCCAAAUAGAUGAGACCAAAAUCAAAUCUCUAUUAUGUGUGACCCAUUGGAUUUCAUAUCUAGCCAGCAGUGGACACAAACUCAUGACCUAAUCCAAUUAGGUCAGCCCAAAGGCAUCAAUUAAUCAAAAUACCUUUUAAUUAAUUUUUGAAUUAAUUUUUUUUAAUUUUUACAAGUCCACAAGUCAAGAUUGACGUCUAGCAACAUGUCAUGACUAAUCAGAAGAUAUAAAAUUUAAUAGAAAUACCAAAAUUAUCCUUCCAUAACGAGUUACCACGCAAUUCAAUCAUUCGAUCACACAACAUCCUAGAUAGACUAUGGGCAUGAAAAUAUAUCAAAUCCAAAUAUCUAUCCAUAUGUAUCUCGAUCUAAUGAUAAUGACUCGAUUGAUGAAUCAGUAAAAUUUUUUUUUACUGUUUAUCUCUGCUCUGGCCAGAGACUCUCAGAGUCAUCAUCCUAUGAGAUCAUAUAAGAUGUUCUCUCCUCUUACAAGGAGUGACCGAUUUCUUGUUGACCACUCUCAACCUCCAUGCACACUUCAUCAUACUUAGAAUAUCCCACAUACAUCUCAAAAUGGCAUACUAGGGAAUAAACCAAAGUAAAAAUCCAUAUACACAAGAUAUCCUGAUGAUCUUAGGUCAAAAGAUCACUUGCACCACUCUCACUGGAGAAUCAUCUGUCGACAUGCUGCAAAGCUCCAUCAGAUGUUCUUCCUGUAGAUCAGUUCAGUGAACUCAUUCUCUAAUGAGUACCUAUAUUUUUGUAUUAGUGUCACCACACAAGUGAUUGUGAGAUCAAUCACCCUCUUCAUGGAGCAUACAUAGGAUGUACCAGUCUUAUCGGUAUUAUCGAUCUCCGACUCAAUGAUCCAAUGACUGAAAAUAUUUUAGAUUGGAGCUAUCAAGAUUUUAGAUCUCACUGGUAUGAUCUCAUCAUGAUCUUAAAAUCAUUACCUUAAUCUAUAGGGUUUAUCAUAAUCAUAAACAUAUGAUGCAUCAAAUGAUAAAACAUAAUACCUCAUAAAUAAAAUAACUAAUAUCAUGCAAAUGAGCAGGA